rnacentral:lncRNA from 1 species
ACAAUAGGUAAUGUGAAUUAUGUGAGAUGGUCAAAUGUUAAUGUAUAUAAACAUAGUAAGAAUGGUGAUUCCAAAAUGAAGAUGCUUUGAAAGGCAACAACCAUGUCAGAACACAUUGCUUGCCCAAGAUAUAAUGGAUUGAAGCUAUUAAAUGAAUAAAGCAGGAAUACGAUCUAAUUCAAAGGAUAAUAGGAAAAAUGAUACACAAACAUGCUAGUCGUCUUAGUCUUCCUUCACUUUGUGGUUCUCCCAUUUGUUAUCUCCACUCCAUCUAAUAUUAAUGUGUGUGUUACCUAAAGGAAUAUAAAAGAAGGUAAGAAAAUAUCUAGCAUGCAAAGACGAAUUCCAGAUUGAUCCAUACAAAACCUGGUCUGUGCUAAAAAAAGAUGAAAAGAAACAACCUGCAUGUAAUAAAGUUCACCUUUGCGUUUCAAAAAAAGUAAAAUUCACCUUGUUGUGAUUAGAAAUACCCCAAGCUCCUUCCAUUACCGACCUUGGUAAGCUUCAGAUUGACGACUGUAUAACUUCAGUAUAGUUUACAUCCUAAAACACAACAUAAGAUAAUCCAUGUUUGAAAUUUUCUACAUGCAGUAAGUGGAUUAAGCUAAUCAUUGAAGAGCAAAUAUAUCUUACCUUCCAUCUGAUCCCAACCAAUUGAAGCUGAAUUUCCUGAGUAAUUGACACCUAAUUGGCUAACAAACUAAGAGUGAAAUUACAUAACAGCAAGGCAAAAAGUUUGAGGCUAACACAAUCAAGAAACAAUACAGUAUGCCAAAAAAAUGUAUUACUCCCUCCGUUCCGAAAUGUAGGUCGCUGGGGCUUGUGUUCCGACCAGGUGAAAAGUUGACAAUUGACCUGAAUACCAUCCCUUCAAAAUUUGAAUCCCGAUCGAUCGUCUUCCACCUCCGCCUCCGCCCUCCACCUCCACCUCCGCUUCCGCCCUCCACCUCCACCGACCCUCACCUCCUCCCUCCAGCUCCAUCUCCACCUCCACCCUCACCUCCGCCCUCCACCUCCAUCUCCACCUCCGCCCUCCAUCUCCACCUCCGCCCCCUGCCCAGGCGCUGCCGCCGCUGGAGUAGAGCUAGUGCUCUGCUGCCGCCCACACACAGGGGCUCCUCCUGACCCGCGCCCAGGUGGAGGCGAGCACAGGCUGUUCCGCCAUCUCCACCUCCGUACCCACCUCCGGCCACUGCAUCCAGGCGCAGGCGCUCCUCCUCUCCCACGUCCAGGAGCUGCUGCUGGGUUCGGCUGGUGCCCAGGUUCAUCUCCUCUCUCUGAUCAUUUGAUCUUCUGCUGGAGUACAUCUCUCUGUUGUCGCUGGAAACGAACUGCAAGCAUGAACAAUACUCAAGUGAUUCAAGAGAUGUACUAAUUCAAGAGUAGUCAAGAGUAAUUCAGAAGUGCCAACAUUUGAUUCAAGAAAUGUUUGCUGCCAAAAAUUCAACAAAUAAUUUGAACAAGUUAACUGAAUUAACUGUUGACUGUAGCAUUUCAGACAAUAGGAGUAGCAGACCAAACUGUAUUAACUGUUGACUGUGCAUCAUUGAUUUUGAAAAUUCUGGAAGAACCUCUGCCAUUAUGUUGAUUUACUUUAAAUAAAAAUCAUAGACUGAAAAUGUUGUCAUCUGGAUUACACAUGUUCUUUUUCUCAUUAGAGGAUCAUGAGAGAAAACUAUUGAAAAUAGUCUGGAGUAAAAAAAAUCUGAGAACACACACACAACAAAAACAGGUUCAUGACUGGAGUAGUACUGUAAUAAGACCUGACAAAACUUCUUUUGGCUGGGAGAGAUUUGAGUGUUUUUAUAUCAUUGCUAAGAGAUUUUAUUACUGUAAUAAGACUUGACAAAACAUCUUGAACUGAUAAUCUACAGCAAACUUGCUUGAAUGCAAUGCAAGUUGUACCUCGAUCUGUCCUGAAACAAUGACCACGUAGCAAAGAGAGGAAUGAACUGCAAACAUAAACAAUUUGAUGAGAAUUUGGUUCAACUAGCCAAUAAUUUGAUCUAACCAUUUGACAAAAUCCGAAUCUACUGAUGCAGGAAUACUGUCAAAUUACUGUUGGAGUACAAUUCAGAUUACAACAGCAGUACCUGAAAGCAGCAGAAGAUGGUUGUCCCAGACCUCAACUGCACUCCACCUGCAGAAGAUGCAGAAGAUGAAAUGGGUGAUGAUGAUGCAGGAGUACAAAUGGAUGAAGAUGUAGGAGUACAAAUGGAUGAAGAUGCGGGAGUACAACAUGCAGGUAUAGCUACAGUGGCAUUUCAGAAAUUUUCAGUUAGUGGUGGAAGAAAAAAAUCAGUUAAAUUACAGAAUACAGUUUGAUGAUAUGAUCAUAUCAUCAUUUGAUCAUUUGAUGAUAUGAUCAUAUCAUCAUUUGAAUGCUUAUGUUCAUUUGACCAUUUUUCCUUUGAUCAUUUGAUCAUUUUUCCUUUGCUGUAUUUCUUCGUGCAGGUGUUGAGCAAUCAGUUAAGAAAAGGGAUAGCCUCGAUGACAAGCAAAAGUAUGCUGCUUAUGUUGCAAUGCACACACUGUGCAUGAGUAGAGGGGGCAAAUUUGAAAGAGAUGACAAGAAAAAGAUUGCCAGUUUCUUUGGAGUGGGUGUAUGGAAUGUACAAAGAGUUUGGAAGAAAGCAAUGAAGCAAAUUGCUCAAGGUCUGGAGGUGGAUGUUUCAAGUCAGAGAAAAAAGAACCGUGGAAGAAAGCCAAAGGACAUUAAUCUAGAUCAAAUACCUACCAUUCCACUUAACAAGCGGUCUACUAUCAGGUCACUUGCUUGGCAACUCGGUUGCAGCCCUACGACACUCCACCGGAAGUUCAUGCUGAAGUUGAUAAAGAGGCAUACAAACUAUUUGAAGCCAGUUUUGAAGGAAAAGAACAAGAAGGAUAGAAUGGAAUUUUGCUUGUCAAUGCUCGAUGAGACAACAACACAAACUGAAAGGCCAAAAUUCAAGACCAUGCACAACAUUAUUCAUAUUGACGAGAAAUGGUUCUAUAUGACCAAGAAAAUCAGGAACUAUUAUCUGCUAUAUGGGGAGGAAGAGCCUACGAGAACUAUACAAAACGGCAGUUGGAAAAGUCGUGUUCUUGGCGGCUAUUGCUAGGCCAAGGUGGGAUAGUGAAGGAAAUGUGACAUUUUCUGGGAAAAUUGGAAUUUGGCCGUUUGUGAAAGAAGUUCCGGCUCAGAGGAGAAGCGACAACAGGCCCAGAGGAACAAUGGAGACGAAGUCCAUAAAAGUCAACAGGCAAGUAAUGAGAGAGUUCAUGAUAGAUAACCUACUACCAGCAAUACAAGCAUCUUGGCCUGAGAAUGAUGCUGGGCAAACCAUCUAUAUACAACAAGACAACGCCAAGCCCCAUAUCUUGCCCAACGACCCAGAAUUUGUAGCAGCCGCGGAAAGAACUGGACUCGACAUCAGACUAAUUCAACAACCUGCCAAUAGCCCUGAUCUGAAUGGCCUUGACCUUGGGUUCUUCAACUCGUUGCAAUCUCUGACAGAUUGUCUAAGCCCUAGAACGCUUCAGGAUCUUAUCAAGGGUGUGCUAGAUGAAUUUGAAAACUAUGAAGUUUACAAGCUGAACAGAGUUUUCCUAUCUCUACAAGCUUGCAUGAUUGAAAUCUUGAACCACGCAGGGGGCAAUGGGUAUAAAAUACCCCAUGCGAACAAGGAAAGGCUAGAGAACCUUGGGAUGCUACCUCCAAGACUUACAUGCCCUGAAGAGGUAUAUGCAAAUGCCAUGCACAAUCUUGGGAUAAUGGAGAGAGUUCAGUGAUGGAAGAAGAGGCUUGACAUACUUGUCGAGAUGCUUGUUGAUAUGCUUGAGGAGUUAGUUGUUGAGAUGCUUGAGGAGUUGCUUGUUGAGAUGCUUGUCGAGAUGCUUGUCGAGAUGCUUGAGGAGUUGCUUGUUGAGAUGCUUGUCGAGAUGCUUAUUCAUAUGCUUGUCGAGAUGCUUAUUCAUAUGCUUGAGGAGUUUCUUGUCGAGAUGCUUGUUCAGAUGCUUGAGGAGUUGCUUGUUGAGAUGCUUGUCGAGAUGCUUGUUGAUAUGCUUGAGGAGUUGCUUGUCGAGAUGCUUGUUCAGAUGCUUGAGGAGUUGCUUGUUGAGAUGCUUGUCGAGAUGCUUGAGGAGUUGCUUGUUGAGAUGCUUGUCGAGAUACUUGAGGAGUUGCUUGUUAAGAUGCUUGUGAUUAUUUGUGUGGAGUAUGUGUAACUCCUUGUUUGUGUGGAGUAUAUGUAAAUCCUAGAGAUGAGGCUUGUGCGGAGUAUAUGUAACUCCUUGAGAAGAGACUUGUGUGGAGUGCAUCAUUUGUAUGAUCAUUUUAAUUAACCAAGAACUACUCCUACAUACUCCAAGAACUACUCCUACUCCUACUCCAAGAACAACUCCUACUCCUAAUUUUAAUUAAAACUAAGCAGCAAGUCCACACGAUUUUAAUUUUAAUUUAAGGAAAAUCCACACGAUUUUACAGAAGCUUGUAUGGCAUGUCAUGAUUUUACAGAAACUACUCCUAUCAUGAUUUUGCUGUCAUUAAUAUGCAAGCAACAAUUAAGUUCACAAUAUUAUGCAAGUUAACAAGCUUCAGUAGCCCAAGUUUCAGUAGACAAGUUAACAAAAGCUACAGACGACAACUUUUAAAAGAAGCUAUAGAAGCUUCAUGAGAAUAAGUUAUUUUUAACAGAAGCUACAGAAAAUUUACACUCAACAUGCACAACAAAUUUACACAGAGAGAGGAGAGGACCAAUUUGCACAGUGAGUUUCAAGCAAUUAACAAAACAAGUUAACUUGUUUGGCCCCUUUUUUCUUUUCAGUUAACAAGACUGGUAAGCAAGUGAACAAAUUCAGAACAAGCCUGGAGUAUAUGUAGAGAUACAAGUGCUCCUACUGAACAAGACUGGAGUAUAUGCAGAGAUACAAGUACUCCUACUGGAAUAUCUAAACAUGUUUGACUGCUUAAGCAUGCAGAACAAGACUGGAGUACAUAAACAUGUUCGACUACAGAAGUUCCCUCGCCAAAGCAAUGAACAUUCAUGACUAGCAAGGGAACUGCAAGAUUAAGAAGCUACUCUGCACUCUACCUGCAGUAGAUAAACAAACUGUAAUACAAGUAUGCAAAAUAUGUAUUGAGAUUGCAAAGUUACUUAAAGUAGAAAAAUGUAUCCAACUGAGAUUGUGGUAAGCUCUUGAUUGGAGUGCAAAAUGUAUCCAGCUAAGUUACUUGUUGAGAUGGAGGAAGUUGUUCAAAUGAUUAAAUCGGGACCAACUAACUGAAUCAGGAGGAACUUUAUGUCUCGACAACUACGGCAUAAUAAACACACAAGAAUAACUGAAUCAGGAGUAGAAACCACGAGUGAGACUGCGAGAGUUCAUCGCCAACCAUUCAAAACAAGAAAAAGAAAAAUGUGGGAUCUGCAAGAAAAAUGUGAGUAUGUUCGAUGCCUGCAAUUUUCGUUCUCUGAAAAUAUGAACCUGCUUCAGUGGCUCAGCCGCAACAUGGCGUAGAUACAAAGGAGAGCAUUACCAUCCUACUCCAUUCAGCAAUUCACACACAUACUCCAGAAUCCAUCAGCAAGUUGCUCUAGGCCUGGGGUGAUCCAUCAGCUUCAUCUUUGCUUGCACAGCAACAAUCACACGAUUUCAGUAACUUUGUGAAGGCUUCAGAGCCGUAGUGGAGUCCGGCACACUGCAUUUUCAAGCUACUGCAUCAAGUUUUCAUUAACCAAAUCGAUGCACUGCUACUCUAACAUCAACUACUCCUGCAAAUGGAUAAGAGAGGAGGCAUGGAGAAGAAACACCGUACCAGAUCCGUGAGGACGACCAAGCCGCUCCAGAUCCGCCAGUUGCUCCCGCGCCUCUCCAAAUACGCCGCUCGGCCUCCGCUAUGCAUCCAGUGCCGACGAGCGCAGAUCCAGCGCCUCCCUCGCCUAGAUCGAGCGCCGGCGCACGCAAAUCCAUCGCCUCUGUCGCCCAGAAGCUCGUCGCCGGCGCAAAAAAAUCAUUCUUUGACCUUGGAUGUGGGGCGUGAAUGGACGCCGGCUGUGAGUGGACGCCAGACGUGAAUGGAUGCCGGCUGUGGACGCGGAGAAAGGUGGCGGCGACGGGGAGAUAUGCUAGAGAGGCCGGCGACGGGGAGUCAGGGAGAUGCCGGCAGGAGUCGGGGAGAGCGAUGGGGAGAAGAGGGGAGCGAUGGGGAGAAGAGAGGCGAGCGAGUGAGCGAGUGGGCUGUGAGCGGAGUGAGGGGUAAUUUCGGAAAGUGCGAGAAUUCCGUAACGUGUCGAAAU